GGCCUGCGCGGUAGUGGGACCCGACCCUGUCUCCAGUGGGCGUCUUGGGCCCCGGCUCUAUUCUGGGCUGCGGGCCUGGGAAGGGCUCGCCGGGUGCCAAAUGAGCUGUCCUAACUCUGCGGGGCUGCAGCUUCCUGCAUGAUGCUGGGGAGCUUGGCGCCUGACCCAGGAUCUAGAAGGCACUCUGGGCAGGCCGCGCUCCGCCCACGAAGGUACCCAACCCUCUGGGAUAGAUGCAGGAAGCGAUGGUUAAGACCCAUUUUCACCCAACUUCUCGCCGCAGGUCUGGCUUACCACACGCUCCUCCCCAUUCCCAGUGAGCCGCUUUUUGCAGCACCAGGCGAACACUUACACCAGUGCUUUGUAAAGGAAUCUUAUUGUCCACCCCGUGUCUUGGCAAAAGAACAGUGAUCACACAGAUUCCUACUUGGGCUCUUUCCUUUAAUCUUCGGAGGCUGAGUUUGCCCAACUCAGGUUUAACCACCAAGGACUCUGAGAGCUGGCAGGUCUGAGUAACCCUGGUAACAAUUCUCUUCACCUUAUCAAAACCUGAGCUAAAACCAAUGCAUCAGCUGAUGAUGACAGCAGAGAGUGGCAGGGCUGAGGACCCAAAGUCAUUUCCCAGGCUGGCGGAGGAUAAACUGCCAGGGAGAAGAAUGAGAAGACAGGAGACAAACUGUUUGGAAAGCUAAAUCUUCCCUCUUAAUGAAUAAAGGUUUUUGCCUUGUCUUAAAGUUUCUGAGUCCUAAUUUUGGCAAAAUAAAUAACUUAUGGUAAUCUGGAAUUGUAUUUUGUAAUAUUAAGUGUUUUGAACCUCUAACAUUUACUUCCCAAAAUCAAACUUCAGUUUCAAAA
rnacentral:lncRNA from 10 species